CGCACAUUGCGCCCCUUGGUAUUCCGAGGGGCAUGCCUGUCCGAGCGUCAGUUCAACAAUCAAGCCACGCUUGGUGUUGGGCCAGCGGCCGGCCCCCAGUGGGCAGGCCCGCCCGAAACGCAUCGGCGAGGAGACCGACCCCCGGCGUCUUGAGAAUCUCACGGUUCGUACGUCGGGAGCACCGGUGGCCUCCGCCGCAACCUCUGAAUCUUUCAAGGUUGACCUCGGAUCAGGUAGGGAUACCCGCUGAACUUAA
rnacentral:misc_RNA from 1 species